rnacentral:rRNA from 1 species
UGCGGUUAAAAAGCUCGUAGUCGAAUCUGUGUCCCGCGCCGCCGGUUCAUCGUUUCUCGGUGUUAACUGGCGUGUCGCGGGACGUCCUGCCGGUGGGCUUAGCUCGCAAGAGCGGUCCAAAUCAAUCCCGCCGCGGUGCUCUUCACUGAGUGUCGAGGUGGGCCGGCACGUUUACUUUGAACAAAUUAGAGUGCUUAAAGCAGGCUAAAAUUUCGCCUGAAUACUGUGUGCAUGGAAUAAUGGAAUAGGACCUCGGUUCUAUUUUGUUGGUUUUCGGAACCCCGAGGUAAUGAUCAAUAGGAACGGAUGGGGGCAUUCGUAUUGCGACGUUAGAGGUGAAAUUCUUGGAUCGUCGCAAGACGGACAGAAGCGAAAGCAUUUGCCAAAAACGCUUUCAUUGAUCAAGAACGAAAGUUAGAGGUUCGAAGGCGAUCAGAUACCGCCCUAGUUCUAACCAUAAACGAUGCCAGCUAGCGAUCCGCCGACGUUCCUCCGAUGACUCGGCGGGCAGCUUCCGGGAAACCAAAGCUUUUGGGUUCCGGGGGAAGUAUGGUUGCAAAGCUGAAACUUAAAGGAAUUGACGGAAGGGCACCACCAGGAGUGGAGCCUGCGGCUUAAUUUGACUCAACACGGGAAACCUCACCAGGCCCAGACACCGGAAGGAUUGACAGAUUGAGAGCUCUUUCUUGAUUCGGUGGGUGGUGGUGCAUGGCCGUUCUUAGUUGGUGGAGCGAUUUGUCUGGUUUAUUCCGAUAACGAACGAGACUCUAGCCUGCUAACUAGGCGUAUUUCGACAUCCUAAAGGCCCGCCUGUCGUGGUUCGCUACGUUCAGGUGCGGUUUUUACUGUCGGCGUACAAACAAUUCUUCUUAGAGGGACAGGCUGCGUUUAGCCGCACGAGAUUGAGUAAUAACAGGUCUGUGAUGCCCUUAGAUGUUCUGGGCCGCACGCGCGCUACACUGAAGGAAUCAGCGUGUCCUCCCUGGCCGAACGGCCCGGGUAACCCGCUGAACCUCCUUCGUGCUAGGGAUUGGGGCUUGCAAUUGUUCCCCAUGAACGAGGAAUUCCCAGUAAGCGCGAGUCAUAAGCUCGCGUUGAUUACGUCCCUGCCCUUUGUACACACCGCCCGUCGCUACUACCGAUUGAAUGAUUUAGUGAGGUCUUCGGACUGGUGCGCGAUGGCGUUUCGGCGUUGUCGAUGUUGCUGGGAAGAUGACCAAACUUGAUCAUUUAGAGGAAGUAAAAGUC